rnacentral:rRNA from 1 species
UGAGUGCGAGCUGCUACGGCAGCGAAGUUGGUGAUGUCAUGCUUCCAAGAAAAGCCCUAUACCCGUUAAGGCAUCAUGGCCUGUACCCGAAACCGACACAGGUGGGGUGGUAGAGAAUACCGAGGGGCGCGAGGUAACUCUCUCUAAGGAACUCGGCAAAAUGGCCCCGUAACUUCGGGAGAAGGGGUGCCACCGCAAGGUGGUCGCAGUGAAGAGGCCCAGGCGACUGUUUACCAAAAACACAGGUCUCCGCUAAGUCGCAAGACGAUGUAUGGGGGCUGACGUCUGCCCAGUGCCGGAAGGUUAAGGAAGCUGGUCAGCGCAAGCGAAGCUAGCGACUGAAGCCCCGGUGAACGGCGGCCGUAACAAUAACGGUCCUAAGGUAGCGAAAUUCCUUGUCGGGUAAGUUCCGACCCGCACGAAAGGCGUAACGAUCUGGGCGCUGUCUCGGAGAGAGGCUCGGCGAAAUAGAAUUGUCUGUGAAGAUGCGGACUACGUGCACCCGGACAGAAAGACCCUAUGAAGCUUUACUGUAGCUUGGUAUUGUGCCCGGGCUCGCAAUGCGCAGGAUAGGUGGGAGGCUUUGAUCAUCGGCUUGCGGGUCGAUGUGAGCCAACGGUGAGAUACCACUCUUUGCGAGCUAUGGUUCUAACGGCCACCCGUCAUCCGGGGGCCGGACAGUACCUGGUGGGCAGUUUGACUGGGGCGGUCGCCUCCUAAAAGGUAACGGAGGCGCGCAAAGGUUUGCUCAGGCUGGUUGGAAAUCAGCCGACGAGUGUAAAAGCAGAAGCAAGCUUGACUGUGAGACCAACAAGUCGAACAGGGAGGAAACUCGGCUUUAGUGAUCCGACGGUUCUGAGUGGAAGGGCCGUCGCUCAACGGAUAAAAGUUACUCUAAGGAUAACAGGCUGAUCUCCCCCAAGAGUUCACAUCGACGGGGAGGUUUGGCACCUCGAUGUCGGCUCAUCGCAACCUGGGGCUGAAGUCGGUCCCAAGGGUUGGGCUGUUCGCCCAUUAAAGCGGUACGCGAGCUGGGUUCAGAACGUCGUGAGACAGUUCGGUCCAUAUCCGGUGCACGCGCAGGAAUAUUGAGAGGAUUUCUCCCUAGUACGAGAGGACCGGGAGGAACGCACCUCUGGUGUACCAGUUAUCGUGCCAACGGUAAACGCUGGGUAGCCAUGUGCGGAGUGGAUAACCGCUGAAAGCAUCUAAGUGGGAAGCCCACCUCAAGAUGAGUAUUCCCAUGGCGUAAGCCAGUAAGGUCACGGGAAGAACACCCGUUGAUAGGCUCUAUGUGGAAGCGCAGUAAUGCGUGAAGCAGAGGAGUACUAAUAGACCGAGGGCUUGAC